GGGUGAGUAACACGUGUGUAACAUGCACAUGAGAGUGGCAUAUUUCCGGGGGGAUCAGGAGCUGAUACCUGAUCUAAUUCCGACAUGCAUGGUGUCGAAAAUGAGCGGCGGACUUGUGACUGUCACUCUAUGAGAUGGAGCCCGCCGUAUGCAUGAGCUAGUUGGUGAGGUAACUGACUCACCCAACGACAACGAUGCGUAGCAGACCUGAGGAGAUGAUCGGUCCAGCACACGGGAGUGAGACACGGCCCACCCUCCUCCGGGAGGCAGCAGUAGGGAAUCUUCCGCAACGGACGAGACUCCCACGAACCAACACCGCCUGAGUGAUGAAGGCGUCCGGGUGGUAAAAAUGCGUUGUUAUGGAAGAACAAAUCCUAGUUGAAUAUGCGGGCGCCUGGACGGUACCCAACCAGAAAAACCCGGCUAAAUAUGUGCCCCCACCCGCGGUAAUAUGUAGGGGGCAAGAGUUUUCAUGAAUAAUUGGGGGUAAAGCGCGCGCAGGGGGUUUUUUAAGUCUGAUGUGAAAACUCCCGGAUCUCCCGUGGAGGGUCAUUGGAAACUGGGAGACUUGAGUGCAGAAGAGGAAGGGGAAUUCCACGUGUAGCGCAGAAAUGUGUAGAGAUAUGGAGGAACACCAGUGGGGAAGGGGCCUCUCCGGUCGGUAUCUGACACUGAGGCGCGAAAGAGUGGGGAGCACACACGAUUAGAUACCCCGGUAGAGCCCACCCCAAAAACGAGUCAUAAUAGUUAGAGGGGUAUUCAUCCCUUCAGUAAUGGUAGUUAACGCAGUAAACACUCCGCGAGGG
rnacentral:rRNA from 1 species